rnacentral:rRNA from 1 species
GAAGGCAGCAGUGGGGAAUAUUGCACAAUGGGCGCAAGCCUGAUGCAGCUAUGUCGCGUGUAUGAAGAAGACCUUAGGGUUGUAAAGUACUUUCAAUAGCAUAAGAAGGUAAUGAAACUAAUAAUUUUGUUAUCAGACGUUAGCUAUAAAAGAAGCACCGGCUAACUCCGUGCCAGCAGCCGCGGUAAUACGGAGGGUGCUAGCGUUAAUCGGAAUUACUGGGCGUAAAGAGCACUUAGGUGGUUUAUUAAGUCAAGUGUGAAAUCCCUAGACUUAAUCUAGGAACUGCAUUUGAAACUAAUAGACUAGAGUUUCGUAGAGGGAGGUAGAAUUCUAGGUGUAGCGGUGAAAUGCAUAGAUAUCUAGAGGAAUAUCAGUGGCGAAGGCGACCUCCUGGACGAUAACUGACGCUAAAAUGCGAAAGCAUGGGUAGCAAACAGGAUUAGAUACCCUGGUAGUCCAUGCUGUAAACGAUGUCGACUAAGAAGUUGAAAGCUUUGACUUAUAAUUUCUGUAGCUAACGCGUUAAGUCGACCGCCUGGGGAGUACGGCCGCAAGGCUAAAACUCAAAUGAAUUGACGGGGGCCUGCACAAGCGGUGGAGCAUGUGGUUUAAUUCGAUGCAACGCGUAAAACCUUACCUGGUCUUGACAUCCACAGAAUUUUAUAGAAAUAUAAAAGUGCAAUUUGAACUGUGAGACAGGUGCUGCAUGGCUGUCGUCAGCUCGUGUUGUGAAAUGUUGGGUUAAGUCCCGCAACGAGCGCAACCCUUGUUUUUUGUUACCAUCAGAUAAAGCUGGGGACUCAAAAGAAACUGCCAGUUAUAAACUGGAGGAAGGUGGGGACGACGUCAAGUCAUCAUGGCCCUUACGACCAGGGCUACACACGUGCUACAAUGGCGUAUACAAAGAGAUGCAAUAUUGUAAAAUAAAGCUAAUCUAUAAAAUACGUCUUAGUUCGGACUGGAGUCUGCAACUCGACUCCACGAAGUCGGAAUCGCUAGUAAUCGUGGAUCAGCAUGCCACGGUGAAUAUGUUUCCAGGCCUUGUACACACCGCCCGUCACACCAUGGAAGUGGGUUGCAAAAGAAGUAGAUUAAUUUAACCUUCUUAACAAGAAAAUAGUUUACCACUUUGUGAUUCAUGACUGGGUG